rnacentral:misc_RNA from 1 species
GAUGAAGAACGUAGCGAAAUGCGAUAAGUAAUGUGAAUUGCAGAAUUCAGUGAAUCAUCGAAUCUUUGAACGCGCAUUGCGCCCGCCAGUAUUCUGGCGGGCAUGCCUGUUCGAGCGUCAUUUCAACCAUCAAGCCCCAGGCUUGUGUUGGGGGCCUGCAGCUGCUGCAGCCCCCUAAAAGCAGUGGCGGACUCGCUGUCAUACCGAGCGCAGUAGUUACAUCUCGCUCUGGGCAUGGCGGCGGGCACCUGCCGUAAAACACUCUUUCUAAGGUUGACCUCGGAUCAGGUAGGAAUACCCGCUGAACUUAAGCAUAUCAAUAAGCGGAGGA